GCGGCCGUAGCCUAACGGUUAUCGCGUUUGCCUCGCACGCGAAUGGCCAGGGUUCGAUUCCUGGCCGUGGCU
rfam:Ixodes scapularis strain Wikel colony gcontig_1108379259240, whole genome shotgun sequence.